rnacentral:rRNA from 1 species
GUUUAACGGCCGCGGUAUUUUGACCGUGCAAAGGUAGCGCAAUCACUUGUCUUUUAAAUAAAGACCUGUAUGAAUGGCAUAACGAGGGCUAAACUGUCUCCUCACCCCAGUUAAUGAAAUUGGAUCUUCCCGUGCAGAAGCGGGAAUUGGCCCAUAAGACGAGAAGACCCUGUGGAGCUUCAGACAAAUAGAUGAAUUUAUUAAACAAUAACACCAUAUAAAAGGUAACUAAAACAAUAACCUCAUCCUAAGUCUUUAGUUGGGGCGACCGCAGAGCAAAAUAAAACCUCCGUGAGGAAUGAGGUAAAAACCUUAUACCCAAGAAUGUCAUUUCUAAGUACCAAAAUAUUUGACCUAUAGAUCCGGCAAUAACCGAUCAACGAACCUAGUUACCCCAGGGAUAACAGCGCAAUCCUCUUUGAGAGUCCCUAUCGACAAGAGGGUUUACGACCUCGAUGUUGGAUCAGGACAUCCUAAUGGUGUAG